rnacentral:rRNA from 1 species
UACAGAGGGUGCAAGCGUUGUUCGGAAUUAUUGGGCGUAAAGGGCGCGUAGGCGGUGCGGUAAGUCUGCGGUGAAAUCUCCCGGCUCAACUGGGAGGCUGCCGUGGAAACUGCCGUGCUUGAGUGUGGGAGAGGUGAGUGGAAUUCCCGGUGUAGCGGUGAAAUGCGUAGAUAUCGGGAAGAACACCCGUGGCGAAGGCGGCUCUCUGGGACGGUACUGACGCUGAGACGCGAAAGCGUGGGGAGCGAACAGG